rnacentral:sRNA from 1 species
ACAAAAACAAUAAAAAUUAAAAAGAUAAUUGUCCUAACUCCUAACAUCACAAGUUUCAACAUAUUGAAAAAAAACUCAAAUUCAUCUCUUUUAAAAUAAAGCUCUCCCUUUUUUUCUACAAAAGUUUAUGUCGCCACCUACUAAGAUUAUCGGUUUCAAUGGCUUUUUCAGCCGGGGUUUCUUUGUUUUAGUCUCUCUAAUUUUGAUUUCUUAUGAGUUUGAUGUUAUCUGAAUCUUAUUUUCUUCCAACUAUUUCAGAUCUAACUCUAUAAAGUCUAAAUCCUUUAUUCUUCUGGAUUUGCUGUUUAUUUUGUCUCCUUCAUCCUUCAUCUGCAGCUUUAGUUCCGACUGUUCCAACCAUAAAGGCAGGUUUUGUCGAUCCUUCAACGCUUCAAAUACAUAUUUUUCACUAUUAAAGAUCUCGAUUUCCUUCCUUUCUUCAUAAGACUUUGGGGUAAGAAGAGCCUUGGUUUUAUUUUCUUUAGAUAGAUCUCUAGUCUCAGAUAUGUUUUUAUUUUUUAAUUUAAUUCGGACUUACACUUAUACUUUAGUUUUGAAAUCUUU